rnacentral:rRNA from 1 species
GAUGAACGCUGGCGGCGUGCCUAAUACAUGCAAGUCGAGCGAACAGACGAGGAGCUUGCUCCUCUGAUGUUAGCGGCGGACGGGUGAGUAACACGUGGAUAACCUACCUAUAAGACUGGGAUAACUUCGGGAAACCGGAGCUAAUACCGGAUAACAUGUUGAACCGCAUGGUUCAACAGUGAAAGACGGUCUUGCUGUCACUUAUAGAUGGAUCCGCGCCGCAUUAGCUAGUUGGUAAGGUAACGGCUUACCAAGGCAACGAUGCGUAGCCGACCUGAGAGGGUGAUCGGCCACCCUGGACCUGAGACACGGUCCAGACUCCUACGGGAGGCAGCAGUCGGGAAUCUUCCGCAAUGGGCGAAAGCCUGACGGAGCAACGCCGCGUGAGUGAAGAAGGUCUUCGGAUCGUAAAACUCUGUUAUUAGGGAAGAACAAAUGUGUAAGUAACGAUGCACGUCUUGACGGUACCUAAGCAGAAAGCCACGGCUAACUACGU